GAGCAAGAGCAUCUAUUGCAAAAAUAAGUGGUGCAUCUUGCCUUUAAGGUUGGUGAAAAGAACUCAGCUGGCGAUUCUCCGUGCCUAUUGAGUUGAUUUUACAGUUUUGAUUACAGCCUCAAACAAGUCGCUACAUC